UACUGAACCUACUCCUUUACUCAUCAUCUUUACUCCAGCAUAAACUGCUACAUUAUUCAUGUAUGUUAUUCCAAAGGUGUUUUUGAUUAUUGUUUCAUACAUUAAAAACAAUGUUAGCCCUGAAAACUAAGAAAUUAAUUGGUAACUGGAGGAGCAAUCUGAAUUUCUUCUUAUUUUAUUUUAUUCUAUGAAAACAGAACUUUUUAGUUUGGUAUUUCUUUCAUUUCUAUCUGAAUGAUUUUGAUUGUUAGAUGAAGGCUUUAGGAAUGCUAGGUGUUGUAAGUUCCUAAAGCCGUAUGUCCAUAACACAUCACAAGUAUUCAUGAGAAAGUGCCAUAUAGCAUGAUUAUAGUCCAAUGGAAAUCAUGUACAUACACAAGAGAAAUGAAAGGAUUCAAACACUAAAAACAAUAUUUUUCCUAUUUAUAUAAAAUCAGGUCCAAAGAAUAGGUUUCUCUACUUUUAUAAUAGAUGGACAAAACAAAAUCAAUAGAAAUGAGGAAGAUUUGGUUUUAUUGUUGUAUUUUAAAAGGGGGGAAAGGAGGGGGCAAUUUGUAUAAAUGAACACAAAAAGGAAGGAAGAAAUGUACAUUUGUAAUACUUUUAUACUGUUGCUUUGUAUGACAUUCUCAAGAGAUGCAUAUUUUAGAUAUCAUAAUAAAUAUUUUUUAUUA
rnacentral:lncRNA from 1 species